AGGAAAAGAAACCAACAGGGAUUGCUUCAGUAACGGGGAGUGAAGCGGCAAAAGCUCAAAUUUGAAAUCCUUCGGGAAUUGUAUUUUGAAGGUGGGUUUGGUUAGGAAAAGUUACUUUAAGUCCAUUGGAAAAUGGCGCCAUGGAGGGUGAUAGCCCCGUAAAAGUAUCCCUUUUCCUUUUAUCCAUUCCCUCCAAAGAGUCGAGUUGUUUGGGAAUGCAGCUCUAAGUGGGUGGUAAAUUCCAUCUAAAGCUAAAUAUUGGCGAGAGACCGAUAGCGAACAAGUACAGUGAUGGAAAGAUGAAAAGCACUUUGAAAAGAGAGUGAAAAAGUACGUGAAAUUGUUGAAAGGGAAGGGCUUGCAAGCAGACACAACCUCGGUUGGGCCAGCAUCGGAGUGGGGGGAGACAAAAAAGAAAAGGAAUGUAACUCAUUGAGUAUUAUAGCCUUUU
rnacentral:rRNA from 1 species